GUUCACUGACUUGCUGCUCUAACCAGAUUUAGCAUAAUAGGGCUUUUCAUCACUGCAAGUAUGUAUAAUUAGGCUUUUAUACAAGUUAUGAAUUUCAGAUGGUCUUAUUAAUUGCUUAAGAAUUAGAAUGGUCUGAUGCUAGGAUUUUGUUUUUGUCAAACGAUUCAUGCUCUUGAUUUUUCUAUUUUUCAUUUUCCAUUUAAGGUAGUUUUAGAUGUGUUCAUUGGAUCCAAUGGACACGAUGGCAUUUUUUUGUCAACUUCAGUUUAUUAUGCUGUGGUGUCUGAUUGCAAGGAUUUAUUUUUCCUUCUCAUCAGUGAUCCAGCUAACCGGCCAACAUUUCUAGAACUGCUCUCAGAUGCUUCCACCUGGCCAUGUUUUUGUUCAUUGGGUUUCAUUAUUUCAUUCACUACAUUGGUAGAGGAAGCAGCCACUCUCAGAUACUUCCACCUGGUAUUGAAAAGUGUUAUUGGUAAUUAUUAUUGUUUAUUUUCUUAGCAGUCUAUGUUGAAAGAUAAUGCGCUUUCUGUAGAACAAUUCUAAAUUCCUCUAUCUGCCAUCUUCUUCCAUACAAAGAUCACUUAGCUUAGUGCAACUCUGUCCUUCUUAAUUUCUUAUUUUGUGCAUGUCAUUAAUGUUAUUAUUCUUUUGAUAUUUAAUUAACAUGGUAUGAGUGUUGGUAUGCCCCGGUGAAUCUCUUAUCCUCAACUAGUUCUAUAGCAGUCAACAGAGGACUCAGCUCAGGAGGGCCAAGCCUGGAGCAUGUGGAGGAAGAUAAACAGCUCAUGAAUGGCGAAGUCCAAUAUAUUAGAGAAGAAGGAUGUUAUUGGAGCUUCCUGUGGCUUCGAGAGGCACAAGGGGAAAUGAUUAGGAGGGUAAUUGUGCUUUAAAACCAGAAAAUUAGGUGAAUGAAAGUAAUCGACCUGCAACUAAUGAAGCUUCAGGAGCCUGGACCUCUUUGUUUAAUGUAAAUUGCACAAGCAGUGGUAGCAGCUCUGGAAGUAUCAAUAGUUCUGCGAAAAAGGAGGAUGUGGAUAUUGAUUGCUUGGACUAUGAAGUCUUAUGGGAAGACAUGAUACUUGGAGAGAGGAUUGGGCAAGGUUCAUGUGGAACUGUAUACCAUGGUCUGUGGGAUGGAUCAGUAUGUUAUCUUGCUCUUUCUCUACUUCAAAUGUGGAUGUGCUGCAACCCUUUUUCCAGUAAAUGAUGUUUCCAUUUAGUCAAUGUAGACAAAAAGUGAAGUUCAAAUUUCAAUAAGUGACACCCUGUUUAUCCAGAAAAGAAUGCUUAUAAAAUGUCUCUCUAAACAUAGUGUUUUCAUGCCUACGUCUUCUGCAUAAAGCAUAUAACUUGAUGAGUCAAACAUAUUAUUCAUAUAAACUUAAGAACAGAACACUCAUCACCAAGUCUGGGAAGGGAAUGGUAUUUUAAAUGGCAUUCACAAGAACCUUUUGUUCAAUUAUCUUAGUAUUAAUCACAAGAAUCCUACUAUUAAUCAGUCUGCUCCUUAUUCUUUAAUUAUGCAUAUACUUGUGCAGGUUCAAAGUUUGUUAGUACUGAUGGCAGUACAGGCAGCAAGGUCUCAUCAUUUUCAACAAGUCUUCUAGGAUGGUACUUUCAUUUUGGCAUUUGCUUCUGGCAAAUCUAAGUUUAGCAUUUUCAUGUAAACUGUAAUUACUCUUCAGUUCAUGAUUGACAUAUAAUGUGUGUUCAGACUUUACACUUUAGAAUUUUUUUGGGUAUAUGUAUGGAUAUGAUAUUCUGGUUAAGUUAAUAAUACAUUUGGUGGUGUAUUUUGAGCUGUGUAUAAUUGGAGGAAGAUUUCUUUUAUUAAUUUUUUUUUUUUUGGAUUCUUUACAAGUUUUAAGGACACUUUUUUAACGUCCUCUAUUACCUUUAUUAAGUGUCCUGUUUUAGUUUUAAGGACACAUAUGAGUAAUUUUUUUGUGUCCUCUCAAGGAUUUAAGGACACCAUUUCUAGAGCUUUUAGGACACAGUUUGUGUGUCCUAGUAUAGAAAAGAGGACACAGUUUCUAGAGCUUUUAGGACA